CCUACGGGUAGCAGCAGUGAGGAAUAUUGGUCAAUGGGCGUAAGCCUGAACCAGCCAAGUCGCGUGAGGGAUGAAGGUUCUAUGGAUCGUAAACCUCUGUUAUAAGGGAAUAAAGUGUGGGACGUGUCCGAUUUUGUAUGUACCUUAUGAAUAAGGAACGGCUAACUCCGUGCCAGCAGCCGCGGUAAUACGGAGGAACCGAGCGUUAUCCGGAUGUAUUGGGUUUAAAGGGUGCGUAGGCGGACUUUUAAGUCAGCGGUGAAAGUCUGUGGCUCAACCCUAGAAUUGCCUUUGAAACUGGGGGGCUUGAGUAUGUUUGAGGCCGUCGGAAUGCUUGUUGUAGCGGUGAAAUGCUUAGAUAUCACGCAGAACCCCGAUUGCGAAGGCAGCCUGCCAAGCCAUGCCUGACGCUGAUGCACUAAAGCGUGGGGAUCAAACAGGAUUAGAUACCCGUGUAGUC
rnacentral:rRNA from 1 species